rnacentral:tRNA from 1 species
GCGCAUGUAGCUCAGCGGUAGAGCAUCGCCCUUAUAAGGCGGAGGUCGGGGGUUCGAAUCCUCCCAUGCGCA